GCCGAAGUGGUGGAAUUGGUAGACGCGCUGGAUUCAAAAUCCAGUGAGGGUGACCUCGUGCGGGUUCGAUUCCCGCCUUCGGUA
rnacentral:tRNA from 1 species